UGAAGUUGGAAGCUUUAGUGAAGAUUCAUCAGGAUCAUUAAAGUACUAAAACAUGUAGUUCCCGUAACAUCAAACAAACCCAGGAGAAGCAACUGGUAUUAUCCAUAAUAAAAUCUGGACAUCUUUUCUAAAAAUCCACAAAAGAGACAAACAAUUGAGACAAAAGAGAUUGAUGAAAAGGAGGAGGCAUUGACCCUUUCCUCGGUCAUCCAACACUCAUUUAUCACAUGAGGUUAAAAUCUAUUAAGGCACUGAAUUUUUACAAAAAUAAAAAAUAAAAAAAUUAGCACACACCUUGGUUUGUGUGAAACUAUGCAUUCAACUCGCAAAUAU
rnacentral:lncRNA from 1 species